CUUAGGGAGGAGCUUGCGUCACAUUAGUUAGUUGGUGGGGUAAAGGCCUACCAAGACUAUGAUGUGUAGCCGGGCUGAGAGGUUGAACGGCCACAUUGGGACUGAGACACGGCCCAAACUCCUACGGGAGGCAGCAGUAGGGAAUUUUCGGCAAUGGAGGAAACUCUGACCGAGCAACGCCGCGUGAACGAUGAAGUAUUUCGGUACGUAAAGUUCUUUUAUUAGGGAAGAAUAAAUGAUGGAAAAAUCAUUCUGACGGUACCUAAUGAAUAAGCCCCGGCUAACUAUGUGCCAGCAGCCGCGGUAAUACAUAGGGGGCAAGCGUUAUCCGGAAUUAUUGGGCGUAAAGGGUGCGUAGGCGGUUAAAUAAGUUUAUGGUCUAAGUGCAAUGCUCAACAUUGUGAUGCUAUAAAAACUGUUUAGCUAGAGUAAGAUAGAGGCAAGUGGAAUUCCAUGUGUAGUGGUAAAAUGCGUAAAUAUAUGGAGGAACACCAGUAGCGAAGGCGGCUUGCUGGGUCUUUACUGACGCUGAGGCACGAAAGCGUGGGGAGCAAACAGGAUUAGAUACCCUGGUAGUCCACGCCGUAAACGAUGAGUACUAAACGUUGGGUAAAACCAGUGUUGAAGUUAACACAUUAAGUACUCCGCCUGAGUAGUACGUACGCAAGUAUGAAACUUAAAGGAAUUGACGGGACUCCGCACAAGCGGUGGAUCAUGUUGUUUAAUUCGAAGGNACCCGAAAACCUCACCNGNCUUGACNUGCUUCUGCAAAACUGUAGAAACACAGUGGAGGUUAUCAGUUGCACAGGUGGUGCAUGGUUGUCGUCAGCUCGUGUCGNGAGAUGUUGGGUUAAGUCCCGCAACGAGCGCANNNCUUANNGNUAGUUACCAGCACGUAAUGGUGGGGACUUUAGCA
rnacentral:rRNA from 1 species